UUUGAAAACUGCAACAUUAGUAGGCGUUGCCUGGAGGACCGAGAGGGCGGAGCCGUGGCAGUGACGAAGAGACGGCUAACUAGACGAAGCUAGCUCCCUUCACUCUGAGCAGUCAUUAGAAGUGGAGGACGUUUCUCCCCCUCCUUACCCAGACACUCGAGAAGAAAGGGACCAAGUCUAUUUGGAGGAGACAAGCGGACAUGAGCCUUAUUGUUUUGAGCUUGUGAGUUGCCUGAAAUUACUGGAACCGACCCAACAGACCCAUCUCUGAACGUGAUCCUCUGGUGUCUGCAGCUGGUCUCCUGCUGAUGUCGUCGGGAUCAGGAACUUCCAGAAGAAUGUGCCUUUCAAUGACUCUUUCCCCCUUAUUUGUUAUAUUAAUUAAAUAAAUCUCAAUUUAUAUAUUUCCUGUUUUUGUUCAUGUCCAUAAAUACUUAAACAUGCUUGAAAUUAAAACGAGCUUUUAACAGUGAGGUGCUAGUUUAGUUCAUCACAAUAGAGCUAGUUAAACAUGCGACAAUGUGAUAAUUCAAUUAAUGUAAUUUAUAAAUAUCCAUUAAAAUAUCAAAACUGGAAUCAAAAUGAGAUAUUUGGCAGCACAAAAAACUUGUCAAACACAAUAUUUAUUAUAAUAAUUGUAGGCAGACAGGAGACAGAGCUGAUGGAGGUUCUCAGUCAUCGAAGGAUGGCUGAAGGCUUUCCAGGAACAGGAGAUGUGGUGUUGUCUCUUCUCUCUCUAUUCUGCCAGAUGAGCUGAUAGGUUACAGGUGUGUGAGGACAUCCUCAUGCUGUCAUAACCAGAUGACAGGAGUUAUCAGGUGAUCAGCCAGGCUAAUGAUGAGAUGCAGAAAGAAAACAAAUCAUGCAGAAAGAAAACAAAUCCAGGACAGUGUACAGUAAUAAAAAUAAUAUGUGGUGUUGCUUACCUUAUGUGCUCUUAUAGAGUUAUUAACGUGUGCCUGCCUCAUGGUGUAGAGUCCAUAUUUUGCUGAGUGUCCUGCAGUAAUGCAGGUUAUUAGUUAAUUUACUUUUGAUAGCAAAAACAAAAUAUUUAAUUUAAAAGUUAUUUACCAGGUGAAUCAGCUCACACGUCACCACCUGGUGGUGACCACCAAGUGUCACAGGGCCAGAAUCAGUAGCCUCCUUCAUGAUGUAAUCACAUACUUAUUUAAUUGUUAAUAUCUUAAAAAUUCAGAAAUGUUUUAAUUUUUUUUUACCUUGAACAGUUCACUGAGCUUGCACUGUCACUGAGGUGGAAGCUGGAAUCAACAGCAGACACCUCACACCGUGGUCUUUUCAGGAGGUGUGGAUGCUCUGGGACCUUCUGGAAGAUGAAUUUCUGUCAUGGUCCCUGUGUCACAAGACACUGAGGCUGUGAGCUCUAUAAAAAACAAAGAAGCAGCACAUUUAUGAACGUUUAAAAGAGCAUAAAAUCACGUGUAACAAUCUGUAAAACAAAUUAAAACUAGAAGGUAAUAAAAUGUUUACAUAGAAGAUUAUUAAAAAUAAUUCACCUUUGCUACGGGUAACACCACGUCAGCCUGGACAAGUGCAUUCUUGCAGAUUACUAAAUCAGUCUGACAGCCAGUGUCUUGGGUAGAUUUAGCCUGAAAAAAAAUAGAAGCACAUUGAUGUUUAUAAAGUCAGAUAAAAUACAAAAGAAACUGUCCCAUAUAGGCGCUUUAUAACAUUCCUAGUGUGUGAUGUUAUUAUAAAGUAAAAGUCAGUCACAUAUGAUGUGGAGACCCUGAAAUGCGACCUCCUGAACAGAAUUCCUCACGGAACCGGGUCACGCUGUGCUGGAUUUCACGCUGUAAUGAUGUCUGUCAACUAGUGCUGCGUCAGUUUAGAGUCACUGUUGCUGAAUUACCGACUGACACAAAAACAACCCGAAUUUUCUCUGAGCCUGACAGUCAUGUGGACCGUUUUGUCGGCCAGGGCUUCGAGAUAUGUUCCGAUUCGCCGCUGAUUCUAAUCUUACAUCCCGUUCCACAUUUUGUGAACUUGACAAAAUAGCCCGAAGGCAGUGCAGACUGAUAUUAGCUAAAUGGAGUGAACCACGUCUCUCAAACUUUGCAUUUAGGUAGGAAAUUGUCUUUAGAAGAUGUUAAAACUUUUAUUUAGCUUACUCACCUCAGACUGUAGCCCGUCAUGGUGGGGGAGCAGAGUCGGUGGGCUGUAUCUAAAUCGCGGAAGAGCCACGGUGGGCACAGCCUCCCUCUUGGAACGGAGACGUGCAGAAUCGCGGGUAAAAUGCUGGUUGCAAACUACAGCACCAGGCGGGAGCUGAAUCUUUUCCAGACACGCAACCACUGGCGCCUAAUUUCUAAGUCCAGCGGAAAGGAGUGCAACCCGACAGAGCUCCGCAACCAUACUACACUACACCAUCUCACCAUGCUAACACGAUAUGGAGCACUAAACCCGAACUACUUUCCUAAUUACACUAACAGCCAAACAGUAACUAAACUACAAUAUCCAACAGCCAAGCUAACACUAAAUAAGUAUGUAUAACACUAAAAGCUAUGCUAAAGACUAGGAUAUGCUAAUGCUAUAUGCUAAUGCUGAACUACGGCUAGCCUCCUACACUCUCAUGCAAAUCCAACUCCCAACUCGCCACAAGGCGUGGCCGAGACUCCCGAUGCUUUUAUAACGUUGACACAGAGCUGCUACGUAGUACUCUACUGGAUUACGUAGUAUCUUACUCUUUAGCCAUUGGCUAAAAUUUAUUCAAAAUGAGUCAAAUUCUAUGUUUUAAGCUGAAGGUGGAGCUAUACUGUGGUAUUUAGGCAGAAUUUUUAAUUUUUUAAGAAAAUGCACCAAAAUGCUAAAAUAAUGAAUACACACAUUUAAAACACUAUUAGACACUCAUUUAUACAGUUCAUCAGCAAAAAAAGUUAAUUUAGACGUUACUUGCUCUUUAAAGAAGUUGUCACUCCCCCCUCAGAGUCUUACUCCACCCACGUAUCAAUUUUAAAAACUGCAACAUUAGUAGGCGUUGCCUGGAGGACCGAGAGGGCGGAGCCGCGGCAGUGACGAAACGAUGGCUAACUAGACGAUGCUUGCUCCCUUCACUCUGAGCAGUCAUUAGAAGUGGAGGACGUUUCUCCCCCUCCUUACCCAGACACUCAAGAAGAAAGGGACCAAGUCUAUUUGGAGGAGACAAGCGGACCUGAGCCUUAUUGUUUUGAGCUUGUGAGUUGCCUGAAAUUACCAGAACCGACCCAACAGAACCAUCGCUGAAUGUGGUCCUCUGGUGU